AUUGAACGCUGGCGGCAUGCCUUACACAUGCAAGUCGAACGGCAGCACGGGAUCAAUCCUGGUGGCGAGUGGCGAACGGGUGAGUAAUAUAUCGGAACGUGCCCAGUCGUGGGGGAUAACGCAGCGAAAGCUGUGCUAAUACCGCAUACGAUCUAAGGAUGAAAGCGGGGGAUCGCAAGACCUCGCGCGAUUGGAGCGGCCGAUAUCAGAUUAGCUAGUUGGUGGGGUAAAGGCCCACCAAGGCGACGAUCUGUAGCUGGUCUGAGAGGACGACCAGCCACACUGGAACGGAGACACGGUCCAGACUCCUACGGGAGGCAGCAGUGGGGAAUUUUGGACAAUGGGCGCAAGCCUGAUCCAGCAAUGCCGCGUGCAGGAUGAAGGCCUUCGGGUUGUAAACUGCUUUUGUACGGAACGAAACGGCCCUUUCUAAUACAGGGGGCUAAUGACGGUACCGUAAGAAUAAGCACCGGCUAACUACGUGCCAGCCGCCGCCGUAA
rnacentral:rRNA from 1 species